AUGUUCAGAAGAAGAGCCUGAAGGUCCAGCAGUGGUUCAGAUGUUCAGAAGAAGAGCCUGAAGGUCCAGCAGUGGUUCAGAUGUUCAGAAGAAGAGCCUGAAGGUCCAGCAGUGGUUCAGAUGUUCAGAAGAAGAGCCUGAAGGUCCAGCAGUGGUUCAGAUGUUCAGAAGAAGAGCCUGAAGGUCCAGCAGUGGUUCAGAUGUUCAGAAGAAGAGCCUGAAGGUCCAGCAGUGGUUCAGAUGUUCAGAAGAGCCUGAAGGUCCAGCAGUGGUUCAGAUGUUCAGAAGAGCCUGAAGGUCCAGCAGUGGUUCAGAUGUUCAGAAGAGCCUGAAGGUCCAGCAGUGGUUCAGAUGUUCGCUCAGCUGGCUCUAAGUGGGUAAAAAUAUUCAAACAAAUCCUUCACUGAAUAUUUUCUUCACCAGUGGAACAGCAUGAAUGAAAACAUGUCAGAGCUGAUUGACUUCCUGUUGGGUCACAGAUCCAGUUAAUGUCUUGUUAGGACGAGUUUAUGUUUAAAUUUAAUUCUCUUAAACCCUUUAUAUGAAUAAACUAUAAAGUGUGAUGAAGAAGAAACCAAACUGUGUAAAACAGGCUCAGUGUUGGACUGAGAAGGUCGCUGAUGUAGAACGUUUCUCCUGAUAAAUGAACACCAGAGACUGAUGAGAGCAGCCAGAGCUGGUUUAUGAGCUUCCAGUAGUCGAAUCAUCUGAUGAAAUCACUGUUCAGGUGGUUUGUUUCUGCCAUAUUUAUGUUCAGUCUGACUGCAGCUACAAAAACAGAAGCUGUAGAAACUCUGCAGUCAUGAAAAAAGAAACUUUAAAAUUGUUGAUUUUAUCAUUUUAAAGGUUACCAUUUAUUAAAAAC
ensembl:lncRNA